UCCGAUAUGGUGUAGUGGCCAACAUGAUGCCCUCUCAUCUCUGGGAGAGGUUAGGCAUAGCCCCGAGUUCGAUUCUCGGUUUCGGAA
rnacentral:tRNA from 1 species